AUGGCGGGAGCCAGACAAAAAUCUGAAAAAGAUAUUAGAGACGCCAAAGGACUGGGAAUUGGAAGAAGACCCUCACAAGCAGAAGAGGUGAAUCUUAAGGAUAUUUUGCGUGAAAUUCAGAAACUAGCUGAACAGCAAAUUGAACAUCAGAAAGAAUCACAAUUGAAAUUGGAUAAACAAGCCCUACAACAGAGAGAAAUGUGUCAGGAACUGCUAGAAAUGAAGAAAGAGAUUAAAGAAGAAAUUGGAUUUUUGAAAAGGGAAAUGACAAAAACACAUCAGGAUAUCAAUGAUUUGAAAUCUGAAAAUUUGAAACUUUCCAAAUCACAUUUUAAAUUACAAAAGAAAGUAGAUGGACUAGAAGACAAAAAUGCUAAAAUGGAAAAGUUACAGGAAAAAAUAGAAUUAAAUGAGAAAGAAUUUCAAUUAAGAUUCCGAAAUAUUCAAGAAGAAUCAGGUGAAAAUAUCAGGAGAAUUGUAAUAAAACUGAUUGCAGAUGUUCUACAAAGAGAAGAAUAUGUUGAAAAUGAGAUAGACAAAGUGUACAGAAUCCAAACAAACUUUUCGAGAAGAAAUAGGGCCACAAAGGAUACUAUUAUACACUUUGUGAAGAAAAAAGUCAGAGAUGAAGUUCUGAUAAAUAAUAAUAGAAAUCCAAUGCACUACAAAGAAAAGAAAAUAAUUGUACUAAAAGAAUUCCCCCAAACGAUCUUGAAUAAAAGAAGAAAAUAUUUUUUCCUAACGGACGAACUUAAGAGACUAAAAAUAAGAUUCAGAUGGGAGAGGAACGAAGGUAUAAUGGUGAUGUGGUAUGGAGAGAAACUUUGGCUGACCUCGGAGGAAAAAGCCAAAGAAUUCUACCAGAAGUUAAUGAAAGAGAAAAAAUAUGAAUCGCCGGAAAAGUCUCCUCCCUCAUCAGUUAAAAGAAAAAAACCAAAGAGAGCGAGACAUCAAUCUCCAAAAGAAGUGAAAGGAAACAAAGGGGCAGCUCCUACUACCACCUCAGAUCUAUCAGAUGUAGGAGACGAAGAUGCGGAAGAAGAGAGUGAGAGAGUAGAUGAUGUGGAUUUAAUUACGGAUGAUGAAGAAAAAAUGGAAAAGGAAAGGAAACCACAGGAGGCAAAAGAAAUAGGCGAAUCGACAGAUGGAUAG
rnacentral:lncRNA from 1 species